CCUGGAGAAUAAUUAGAUUGGAAUCUAUAACUUCUUUAUUCUUUAAUAGGUAGGCCAUGUUCUCAUACAUGAUCUUGAAGUUGAUGGCUACUUACCAAACAAAAAUUCAGAUUAGUCAUUCAUCGAAGUGAAAAAAGAGAGAGAGAGAAGAAAAGAAAGAAAAAUUCACAUGCAUGAGUUGCUCGAACCCAUGGUUGGC
rnacentral:lncRNA from 1 species